UACGGGGGGGGCCAGCGUUGUUCGGAAUUACUGGGCGUAAAGGGUGCGUAGGCGGUGCUCUAAGUCGGAUGUGAAAACUCUGGGCUCAACCCAGAGCCUGCAUCCGAAACUGGAGUGCUAGAGUUCUGGAGGGGGUAGCGGAAUUCCUAGUGUAGCGGUGAAAUGCGUAGAUAUCAGGAGGAACACCGGUGGCGAAGGCGGUUCUCUGGGCCUUACCUGACACUGAGGAGCGAAAGCGUGGGGAGCGAACAGG
rnacentral:rRNA from 1 species